rnacentral:rRNA from 1 species
UACGUAGGGCGCAAGCGUUAUCCGGAAUUAUUGGGCGUAAAGAGCUCGUAGGCGGUUUGUCGCGUCUGCCGUGAAAACCCGCAGCUCAACUGUGGGCUUGCAGCUGAUACGGGCGGGCUGGGAUUCGGUAGGGGAGACUGGAAUUCCUGGUGUAGCGGUGAAAUGCGCAGAUAUCAGGAGGAGCACCGGUGGCGAAGGCGGGUCUCUGGGCCGAUAUCGACGCUGAGGAGCGAAAGCGUGGGGAGCGAACAGG